UCGAGCAAUAUUGCUUUAGAAAAAUACAGUUUGUGUAAUGAUGUCUUAUAAAUUUAAGAACUUUACUUUAGAAUCUGUGUGAGUUCAUCAAUAAAGAAACGUGAAAGAGAAGACAACCUCUAAACUUCCUCGUUUCGUUUUGAUAUGCAACAUUUAUAAUGCAUAUCAAGGAAAUUAAUCAGUUGCGAGAGAAGAAUUGAAGGUUUUGUUUCAUUCACCAUGAAUGGAAGAGAUCUUGAUACAUCUUAUAUAUACAACAAACUGAUGAACGAAAGCAAAACAUGAAUCCACAACAUGACAACAUGAAUACAUUAACACGUAACAAUUUUUUUACAUAAACAUAUAUUUUGUUUGUAAAAAAACAUGUAUUAUACAUAAAAAUUGG
rnacentral:lncRNA from 1 species